UACGUAGGCAGCAAGCGUUGUUCGGAGUUACUGGGCGUAAAGGGUGCGUAGGUGGUCCUGUAAGUAUGGUGUGAAAUCUCCCGGCUUAACUGGGAGGGUGCGCUAUAGACUGCGGGACUAGAGGGUGGGAGAGGAAAGUGGAAUUCCUGGUGUAGCGGUGAAAUGCGUAGAUAUCAGGAGGAACACCGGUGGUGUAAACGGCUUUCUGGACCAUUUCUGA
rnacentral:rRNA from 1 species